rnacentral:lncRNA from 1 species
UCUCCAUCACUCACUUAAUGACAAUUGUAAGUAAACGGUCUUGCGUGGACAACGAAAAACCCAGCCGACCGGUUAAAUCCUUCCAUGUAGUGUUGUCAAGUGCCAACGCAUCUCCCACGUCAGCGAAACUCGCUCCUAAACAUGGCUUUAACCUCACACGACUUCACCUCCACCAUACACGACUUAACAGGCCUCCAUUUUAUCCGAGUCGUGCAAAUUUUCUGAGUUUAUCUUCCCUACCAGCUCAGAUCAUGAAGAACCCUAGGCAUCUUCCCCAGAUUGUUUGAUCCACAACGGCACCUUAAGAACCCUAAACCCCCAGAAAUCGACGAUUCACGAGUGAUGUGAGAAAAUGUUCGGACAUUGUUCUUACUUACAAUGCCCAAUUUUCAAUCAGUAGCCCUAGCCCCCCAAAAAUCGAGUGGCGAAGAAUUAAAUAACGACUCCACCAUUAAGCUACAAUCUCGAAGGCGUGCAUAUGGGAGUUUUAGAUGAAGGUAAUGUCGCAAUGUUUGUGGGAUUAUUCGACUGAUCUAAUAUUUGCCUGGCAACUACGAGGUUGGUCUUGCCUGAAGGUCAAAUAUCAUUUUGCUUGGGAAAUAUUCUUUAUGUUAAGACUUGAAACAGCUAUCAGAAAAAAAUGUAGAUUAUGCAUUAAAGUUUGAUGAACAUGUAUAAUUAGUUUUUCUAACAUUUUUUUAGAAUAUUAAACACUACAUUUAGAUAAAAGCCAUGAUUAGUAUGGAACCUGUAUAUUAUAAUUUUUGUGUGGUCUCACUUAAAUUGAAUGGUAUGGUCCUGUAGUGAGUUGGUCCAAUUUCGAGUUCAUUACACCAUCGAUGUAAAUAUUGAAUAUCUUCAAUGUAAAUAUUUGCUUCUUCAUAGUUACUGUCCAAAUGUUAAUGCAUUCUCAUUUUAUGACAAAGUAUGUGGAUGAUCCAAAUGGAUUCUGAUAAUGAUUUCGAGUCUGAUCAAGACGAUAUGGAAUAUGAUAGAAAUAUCAUCGAUGGGAUUGAAAUGGGAUUUGCUGAUUGUGGAGAUCAAGUUUCGGUUGAUCGGGAAGAUGUGAAUGAUAUGGAGAUAGAUGAUUUGGAAAUCCAUUGUCAGAGGAACUACUAUCCCAAUGUUCAUCUGAUGAGGAUGGUGGGCAUAAAUUUCAUGAAUUUUUGUUCAAUUCGGACACGAAGGACCCACAUUUUGAUGUGGGGCAAAUUUUCUGUUUCGCUACAGAGUUCCGAGAGUCAGUUGGACCUACAAUGCAUUAAAUAAGUAUAAUGUAAAGUUCAGGCGAAUGAGCGAAGUAGGGAACAUGCCAUAUGCACACUGAGAUGUAAAUGGAGGAUUUGGGCUUCAAAGAUGGAUGUGUCGGAGAGGUUGCAAGUGAUAUCUUACACCUUGGAGCAUAGUUGUAGCCGGUCCAAUUUAAUAGACAUUGCAACUACAUACUUUUGACGAAUCGAUAUUAAACAGUUCAAAGCGGACCACAACUAGAAGAUUGAGCUCAUUUUGGCCACAGUGAAUAAGGAUUUGUGCACAGAUAUUAGUAGGAAUGUGGCAUGGAAGAUGCGGAGAUAUGCCAAAGAACCUUCGAUCGGGACUUGGCAAGAGCAGUUAUGCAGUUGCACUCUUAUGCAGUCGAGGUACUACGUACAAACGCGGACUCGACGGUCAUUAUAGCAUUAUAGGAGCAAGUUUUCUAGGGCACGUACAUCUGCUUUAAUUGUUGGAAGAUUGGUUUCAGGAAUGGUUGUAGGAAGGUGGUUGGAGUUGAUGUUCACUUAAGGAGUUGUUUCGGAGGGAUCAUGUUAACUGCAGUUGGAUUUGAUGCUUAUGACUACAUCUGUCCUAUCGCAUAUGCAGUUGUCCAAAAAGAAAAUACACCAACUUGGCUAUGGUCUUUAACCUAUCUUUCAGAAGAUAUUAGAAUUGGACAUAUUAUAGGUUGAACCUUGAUGAGGGACUGACAGAAGGGUUUACAAAAUGUGAUAGCUGAAUUGUUUCCCGAGGCCGAGCAUAGAUUCUGUGUAUGGUAUAUGUACAUGAACUUUUUCAAUACUGGGUACAAGUAAAAAAUUCUUAAGAAUCACUUAUGGCGUGCUGCCAAGUCGACCAUAAUUGCUGACUACAGACAUUGGAUGCUGCAAAUUCGUCGACUUAGUGAGGAAGGAUAAAAUUGGCUAAUGGAAAGUAAUCCAUAUGAAUGGAGGAGAUCACAUUUCUCGGUUCACUCAAAGAGCGACAUAUUACUGAAUAAUUUAUGCGAAGUGAUUAGCAAAACUUAAUGAAGUGAAAGGGAGAAUAUGAUUCUAUCAGUGCUUACCUCACUUCAAUUAACCUUCAUGACUGGGAUUCGGAAGUGUCGAAACAUGAUGAUGCAUGACGUUUGUGUCUGAAGAUUAAGAAAAAAUUAGAUAAGAUUGUUGAGAAAUCGCGUGAAUGCUUGUUGCAUUUGUCUGGGGGGCUAAAUGGCAAGUUGAUUGUAGUUUUGGGACAUAUGUUGUUGACCUACAAGAGAGAACUUGUACAUGUAGAGAGUGAGAGUUUACGGGCAUACCUUGCAUGCAUGCUGUGGCAGUUAUUAGAGAAUGUAGAAAUGAUUCGGAGGAGUUCGUUGAUAACUGCUACACGAUAAAGACAUAGAUGAGAUGUUAUAAUAGUGUCACGAACCCAAUUGACGGUAUGCGAUUAUGGCUACAGUUGGAUAUGCUUGCUAUCACUCCACCAUUGUGGAUAGUUCCGCAAAAGGGAAGGAGGCAAGUAAAUAGGAAAAAAGGGGCAGACGAAGAGGUGAUAGUACAUUCAAGGAAGAAAACCUACAUUCAGAGAAAGGGACAAUUGCAGAUUACAUGCUCAACUUGUGGGAGGAAAUCUCCCCAAUGGUUACUGAACUUUGCAGAAAAUCCCCUAGGAGAUCACUGAACUUCAAUACGUCCGUAAAUGGUCACUGCACUUUUCUGAAGUCCCCUCAAGAGGUCACCGAAUUUCAAAACGUUCCUGGAUAGUCACUGAACUUUGCCGAAAUUCCCUAGAGAGGUCACUUAACGUUGCAAAUUGGGACCCCAUACAUACCUAAUUUAGUGACCUCCUAAGAACUUUUUGUAAAGUUCAGUGACCAUCCAGGAACGUUUUGAAGUUCGAUGACCUCUUGGGGGGACUUGGAAAAGUUCAGUGACCAUUUAGAGACGUAUUGAAAUUUGGUGACCUUCUAGAGAAUUCUUUGCAAAGUUCAGUGACCAUUGGGGGGGUUUCCUCCAACUCGUGGCUUACGUGAUCACAACAAAACAAUAUCAUUUACAAAAAGAUGCCUUGUUCGAUGUUAGUAUUACCUUUUUUUUCCUUUUUUAUGCCAUGAACUGAGAUAUAUUUUAUUUUCUAAUGCUAUUUGUCUUCCCGACAGGAUUGGUUUGAAGGGGAAUAAGAAGUGGUUGGAAGUGGAUGCAACACAGUCGUGGAUGUACAAAUAAGUACAUGUCGAAUUCAAUUUUUUAUACUUCUACAUAUUGGCUGGAAAGUGUGACUAAUAUUUGAUUACGGUUUAUGCGUAAGGGUAAAAUAAAUGGUUGCACAAAAAUAUAUAGUAGAGCAUGAAUCACGGCCAGGAAGUGUUUGAGCUGGACCAACAGUAACGGUUGGUAAAUCAAACGGGUGACCAUCAAAGUUCACAUGAUAAAUGUGAACUUUGACGAUUGACGACUAGCAUGACAUAACAGAACUGGAAAUCAGGCAAAUUAGGGACGACUAGGGCUUGAGCACGUCGUAGGGUGAAAUUUGCGAAAUCAAAAGAUGCCUAACGACAUCAAUUAUCUUCUUGUUUUUUGGGCACGACAGAUAGAUAGGACUUUUUGUGCUUGGAGCAUAUGGCGGGUUAUUAUCCUUUUUGUCUUUGGUGUACACGUUUUGGGCAAUGUAGCUAAAAAUUAUCUUGUACACAAGAUGAAAUAUGCACAACGGUCUAGUGUCCAUGUUUUUUAGUACUCUAGUUGGAAAUUGUCUUGUACGCAUAUGAAAUAUGCAUAGCAGAACACUACAAUUUGUUUCAUAAUCUUUCUGCAAAACACUACAUUAUGUUUUGUUCUGUUAAGUUUGAAAUGUGUAUGUUAAUCUUUCUGAUAUUGUAUUGUUUAUAGAUUCAAAAACUUAAAGGUUGUUAAUCUGAGG